rnacentral:rRNA from 1 species
UACGUAGGGUGCGAGCGUUAAUCGGAAUUACUGGGCGUAAAGCGUGCGCAGGCGGUUUUGCAAGCCGGGUGUGAAAUCCCCGGGCUCAACCUGGGAAUGGCAUUUGGGACUGCAAGGCUCGAGUGCGGCAGAGGAGACUGGAAUUCCUGGUGUAGCAGUGAAAUGCGUAGAUAUCAGGAGGAAUACCGAUGGCGAAGGCAGGUCUCUGGGCUGACACUGACGCUCAUGCACGAAAGCGUGGGGAGCAAACAGG